rnacentral:RNase_P_RNA from 1 species
GGCGGGGGCGACCCCAGGGACAGUGCCACAGAAAACAAACCGCCGCGGCUUGGCCGAGGUAAGGGUGAAACGGUGCGGUAAGAGCGCACCGCAACCCUGGUGACAGGGUUGGCAGGGUAAACCCCACCGGGAGCAAGACCGAAUAGGGGCGGCCGGCGGCGUGGCGGAGCGAUCCGGCACGUGACGCAAGGGGGUUUCCGCCCCGUCGCCCGGGUUGGUCGCGUGAGGCGCAUCGCAAGAUGCGUCCCAGAGGAAUGGUCGCCUCGUCCGCCGGGCAACCGGCGGGCGGACAGAACCCGGCUUACAGACCGUCUGGCACC